GAUGAACGCUGGCGGCGUGCCUAAUACAUGCAAGUCGAGCGAAUGAUGAGGAGCUUGCUCCUCUGAUUUAGCGGCGGACGGGUGAGUAACACGUGGGUAAUCUGCCUGUAAGACGGGGAUAACUCCGGGAAACCGGGGCUAAUACCGGAUAACAAAAGAAGAUGCAUAUCUUCUUUUUGAAAGUCGGUUUCGGCUGACACUUACAGAUGAGCCCGCGGCGCAUUAGCUAGUUGGUGAGGUAACGGCGCACCAAGGCGACGAUGCGUAGCCGACCUGAGAGGGUGAUCGGCCACACUGGGACUGAGACACGGCCCAGACUCCUACGAGAGGCAGCAGUAGGGAAUCUUCGGCAAUGGGCGAAAGCCUGACCGAGCAACGCCGCGUGAGCGAUGAAGGCCUUCGGGUCGUAAAGCUCUGUCAGCAGGGAAUAAAUGGCUCCUUCGGGGGCAGUUGAAUGUACCUGCAAAGGAAGCCCCGGCUAACUUCGUGCCAGCCGCCGCAGUAACAC
rnacentral:rRNA from 1 species